GAUCUCAAUCCCUUGAUAAAUAAAAGUGCUUUGCCAUGUCCUGAGCUGGCACCAGUGAAGAUUGCACAGCCUUCCGUAGAUCUGGAUAAUGGCCCAUGUGUACCACGGAUCACCCCCACCCAACCACCUCCUAAAACAAUGCCUCCUAAAACAACGCAUCCUAAAACAAUGCCUCCUAAAACAACCGAUGACAAAAGCAUUUUUGGCUUCUCUCCUGCAAUGGUGGCUYCUCCUGUCCUCACCCUCCUGCUCGCACUGAUGCUGUCAAUUCCAUGAUGGACAGGACCAGCAAUUUGCCUUGGUGGUUUUUUAUAUUAA